rnacentral:rRNA from 1 species
CCUACGGGUGGCAGCAGUGAGGAAUAUUGGUCAAUGGGCGCGAGCCUGAACCAGCCAAGUAGCGUGAAGGAUGACUGCCCUACGGGUUGUAAACUUCUUUUGUAAAGGAGUAAAGUGAGGCACGUGUGCCUUUUUGUAAGUACUUUAUGAAUAAGGAUCGGCUAACUCCGUGCCAGCAGCCGCGGUAAUACGGAGGAUCCGAGCGUUAUCCGGAUUUAUUGGGUUUAAAGGGAGCGUAGAUGGGUUGUUAAGUCAGUUGUGAAAGUUUGCGGCUCAACCGUAAAAUUGCAAUUGAUACUGGCAGCCUUGAGUACAGUUGAGGUAGGCGGAAUUCGUGGUGUAGCGGUGAAAUGCUUAGAUAUCACGAAGAACUCCGAUUGCGAAGGCAGCCUACCAAACUGCCACUGACAUUGAUGCUCGAAAGUGUGGGUAUCAAACAGGAUUAGAUACCCUGGUAGUC